rnacentral:rRNA from 1 species
GUGCCAGCAGCCGCGGUAAUACGGAGGGGGCGAGCGUUAUUCGGAAUUAUUGGGCGUAAAGGGCGCGUAGGCGGCUUGGUAAGUCAAAGGUGAAAUCCCUCGGCUCAACUGAGGAACUGCCUUUGAAACUGCCUGGCUCGAGGCCGGGAGGGGGUAGCGGAAUUCCCAAUGUAGCGGUGAAAUGCGUAGAUAUUGGGAGGAACACCGGUGGCGAAGGCGGCUACCUGGACCGGUUCUGACGCUGAUGCGCGAAAGCGUGGGGAGCAAACAGGAUUAGAAACCCCUGUAGUCC